AUUGAACGCUGGCGGCAUGCUUUACACAUGCAAGUCGAACGGCAGCGCGGGCUUCGGCCUGGCGGCGAGUGGCGAACGGGUGAGUAAUGCAUCGGAACGUGCCCAGUAGUGGGGGAUAGCCCGGCGAAAGCCGGAUUAAUACCGCAUACGACCUGAGGGUGAAAGCGGGGGACGGAAAGGCCUCGCGCCAUGGGACGGGCCGAUGCCGGAUUAGCUAGUUGGUGGGGUAAAGGCUUACCAAGGCGACGAUCCGUAGCUGGUCUGAGAGGACGACCAGCCACACUGGGACUGAGACACGGCCCAGACUCCUACGGGAGGCAGCAGUGGGGAAUUUUGGACAAUGGGGGCAACCCUGAUCCAGCCAUGCCGCGUGCGGGAAGAAGGCCUUCGGGUUGUAAACCGCUUUUGUUCGGGAAGAAAUCCUCUGGGCUAAUACCCCGGGGGGAUGACGGUACCGGAAGAAUAAGCACCGGCUAACUACGUG
rnacentral:rRNA from 1 species